rnacentral:rRNA from 1 species
UACGUAGGCAGCAAGCGUUGUUCGGAAUUACUGGGCGUAAAGAGUGUGUAGGCGGUGCUCUAAGUUCGGUGUGAAAUCUCCCGGCUUAACUGGGAGGGUGCGCCGGAAACUGGAGUGCUCGAGCGUGGGAGAGGAAAGCGGAAUUCCUGGUGUAGCGGUGAAAUGCGUAGAUAUCUGGAGGAACACCGGUGGCGAAGGCGGCAUCCUGGACCAACACUGACGCUGAGGAGCGAAAGCCAGGGGAGCGAACAGG